rnacentral:rRNA from 1 species
UACGGGGGGGGCAAGCGUUGUUCGGAAUUACUGGGCGUAAAGGGCUCGUAGGCGGCCAACUAAGUCAGACGUGAAAUCCCUCGGCUUAACUGGGGAACUGCGUCCGAUACUGGAUGGCUCGAGUUUGGGAGAGGGAUGCGGAAUUCCAGGUGUAGCGGUGAAAUGCGUAGAUAUCUGGAGGAACACCGGUGGCGAAGGCGGCAUCCUGGACCAACACUGACACUGAGGAGCGAAAGCCAGGGGAGCAAACGGG